rnacentral:misc_RNA from 1 species
GAUGAAGAACGUAGCGAAAUGCGAUAAGUAAUGCGAAUUGCAGAAUUCAGUGAGUCAUCGAAUCUUUGAACGCACAUUGCGCCCGCCAGUAUUCUGGCGGGCAUGCCUGUCCGAGCGUCAUUUCAACCCUCGAACCCCUCCGGGGGGUCGGCGUUGGGGAUCGGCCCUUUCACCGGGUGCCGGCCCCUAAAUACAGUGGCGGUCUCGCCGCAGCCUCUCAUGCGCAGUAGUUUGCACACUCGCACCGGGAGCGCGGCGCGUCCACGUCCGUAAAACACCCCAACUUCUGAAAUGUUGACCUCGGAUCAGGUAGGAAUACCCGCUGAACUUAAGCAUAUCAAUAAGCGGAGGA